rnacentral:lncRNA from 1 species
UGUCCCAUACAGCUUUUGAAUAAGCUUCAAGAUUAUAUAAUCAAACCAGGAAGUAGGUGGGACUUUCAUAGUGUAUUACAACAACAAAGAAGUUACUUCAAACAACGAUCACUGUUUUUUUUUCUCUCUGACAUCAUUGCACAUAAUGGCAUGCGCGAUAGAACAGAAGAGUAUGAACAAAACGUUUUUAUUUUUUUUACCAUGAUGCUGGAUUCUCCUCUGUUUCUUCAACAAAAACCAAACAAAAAAGAAUGCAACGGAGUGAACAGUGGCACUGUUUCACCGUGGGGGGAAUUCAGACCCAGGAUACAGACACGUAACCAUGAUUGACAGAGGAAAAACAGUGAUUCCAACCACCACCCUCCUUUUGAAGCUUCCAGUCUGUUAUUCGAACUCAAUCAGCAUGACAGAGUGAUCUCCAGCCUUGUCCUCGUCAACACUCACACCUGUGUUAACGAGAAAAUCACUGUGUCACGUCCUGACCAGCAGAGGGAGUAAUUGUAUUCAUUUUGGUCAGGACGUGGCAGAAGUAUGAGUAUUCAGGUACCCGCUGCGCCUUGGUCUCAUCUCUUCGACAGCCAUUACAGAACUACCCACCACAACAGGACCAAGCAGCCCCAUUUUUUUUGGGGGGGGGGGGGGGGGGGGUACAAGGGCAGUUUGGUGGGGCAAGGAUGGAGCCCCAGGCCAGCUCCCCGUACCAUUUUUGGGCAGAGACAUACUGGACAGGUCCCGUGCUUUGGGGUGAUGGGUGCUGUGGCGAGGCCGGGUAUUUUCAGGCCGAUACGCGCAGUACCAGCGCCCCGCAUGUGCCAGGGGAAAGUAGGCAUCCAGCCAGUAGGGGUGAUGCCAGCCCUGCGCUCGAGACCGCCAGUGCGCCUCUACGGUCCAGUGUUUCCUGCUACACGCACUAGCCUUGAGGUGCGUGUCUCCAGGCUGGCACGUCCAGUACCAGCCCCACG